rnacentral:rRNA from 1 species
UACGUAGGGUGCAAGCGUUGUCCGGAAUUAUUGGGCGUAAAGAGCUUGUAGGCGGUUUGUCGCGUCUGCUGUGAAAUUUCGGGGCUCAACCCCGAACUUGCAGUGGGUACGGGCAGACUAGAGUGUGGUAGGGGAGACUGGAAUUCCUGGUGUAGCGGUGAAAUGCGCAGAUAUCAGGAGGAACACCGGUGGCGAAGGCGGGUCUCUGGGCCGUAACUGACGCUGAGGCGCGAAAGCGUGGGGAGCAAACAGG